UGAUGAAUGAGGAGAAAGACUUUAGUUCAAGAUUAAUUACCUAAAGCAAGAAUGCAAGGAUAUAAUAAAGAAAUAAAGAGAAACAAUAAAGCACACCACAAACACAAGAAUUUAUAGUGGUUCGGUGCCAACCUUGCACCUACAUCCACUCCCCAAGCUCCUACUUGGGAAUUUCAAUCCACUAUACUUGUAUUCAACCC
rnacentral:lncRNA from 1 species